CCUACGGGCGGCAGCAGUGGGGAAUAUUGGACAAUGGGCGAAAGCCUGAUCCAGCCAUGCCGCGUGUGUGAAGAAGGCCUUCGGGUUGUAAAGCACUUUCAGUGGGGAAGAAAGCCUUGGGGCUAAUACCCUCGAGGAAGGACAUCACCCACAGAAGAAGCACCGGCUAACUCCGUGCCAGCAGCCGCGGUAAUACGGAGGGUGCGAGCGUUAAUCGGAAUUACUGGGCGUAAAGCGCGCGUAGGCGGUCUGAUAAGCCGGUUGUGAAAGCCCCGGGCUCAACCUGGGAACGGCAUCCGGAACUGUCAGGCUAGAGUGCAGGAGAGGAAGGUAGUAUUCCCGGUGUAGCGGUGAAAUGCGUAGAGAUCGGGAGGAAUACCAGUGGCGAAGGCGGCCUUCUGGACUGACACUGACGCUGAGGUGCGAAAGCGUGGGUAGCAAACAGGAUUAGAUACCCGAGUAGUC
rnacentral:rRNA from 1 species